rnacentral:rRNA from 1 species
CCUACGGGUGGCAGCAGUGAGGAAUAUUGGUCAAUGGACGAGAGUCUGAACCAGCCAAGUAGCGUGAAGGAUGACUGCCCUCUGGGUUGUAAACUUCUUUUAUAUGGGAAUAAAAUGUUCCACGUGUGGGAUUUUGUAUGUACCAUAUGAAUAAGGAUCGGCUAACUCCGUGCCAGCAGCCGCGGUAAUACGGAGGAUACGAGCGUUCUCCGGAUUUAUUGGGUUUAAAGGGAGCGUAGGUGGAUUGUUAAGUCAGUUGUGAAAGUUUGCGGCUCAACCGUAAAAUUGCAGUUGAAACUGGCAGUCUUGAGUACAGUAGAGGUGUGCGGAAUUCGUGGUGUAGCGGUGAAAUGCUUAGAUAGCACGAAGAACUCCGAUUGCGAAGGCAGUUCACUGGACUGCAACUGACACUGAGGCUCGGAAGUGUGGGUAUCAAACAGGAUUAGAUACCCGGGUAGUC